UACGUAGGGGGCAAGCGUUAUCCGGAUUUACUGGGUGUAAAGGGAGCGUAGACGGCGAUGCAAGUCUGAAGUGAAAGGCGGGGGCCCAACCCCCGGACUGCUUUGGAAACUGUAUGGCUGGAGUGCAGGAGAGGUAAGUGGAAUUCCUAGUGUAGCGGUGAAAUGCUUAGAUAUCAGGAGGAACAUCGGUGGCGUAAGCGCUUUACUGGGCCGUAAUUGACGCUGAGGAACGAAAGCCAGGGUAGCAAAUGGG
rnacentral:rRNA from 1 species